UACGAAGGGGGGCUAGCGUUGUUCGGAAUCACUGGGCGUAAAGCGCACGUAGGCGGAUGUGCCAGUCAGGGGGUGAAAUCCCGGAGCUCAACUUCGGAACUGCCUCUGAUACAGCACGUCUUGAGUCCGGAAGAGGUGGGUGGAAUUCCUAGUGUAGAGGUGAAAUUCGUAGAUAUUAGGAAGAACACCGGUGGCGAAGGCGGCCCACUGGUCCGGUACUGACGCUGAGGUGCGAAAGCGUGGGGAGCAAACAGG
rnacentral:rRNA from 1 species